GUAGGUGGCAAGCGUUGUCCGGAAUUAGUUGGGACGUAAAGCGCGCGCAGGCGGUUUCUUUAAGUCUGAUGUAGAAACGCCCACGGCUCAACCGUGGGAGGGUCAUUGGAAACUGGAGAACUUGAGUACAGAAGAGGAAAGCGGAAUUCCACGUGUAGCGGUGAAAUGCGUAGAGAUGUGGAGGAACACCAGUGGCGAAGGCGGCUUUCUGGUCUGUAACUGACGCUGAGGCGCGAAAGCGUGGGGAGCAAACAGGAUUAGAUACCCUGGUAGUCCACGCCGUAAACGAUGAGUGCUAAGUGUUAGGGGGUUUUCCGCCCCCCCUUAGUGCUGCAGCUAACGCAUUAAGCACUCCGCCCUGGGGAUACGGCCGCAAGGCUG
rnacentral:rRNA from 1 species